CCGCAGACCGCUGCACCUGGCCACACUGACCAGCGUUUAAGCAAAUUCUCAGACCAAAACAUUCCCAGUUCAGUUUCCAAUUGGACGCCAGGAUCAAAGGAGCGCAGCCGCGGGCACAGGAGCACGCGAAGCACACGGAGCCAAGGACUCGAGGACCCGAGGAGCACAAGUAGCCAAGAAGAGCCCAGCUGCUGGCCAGGAUGAACGGACUGCCGCCGAGCAAGCACUACAACCUGACGCACUACCAGCAGCGCUACAACUGGGACUGCGGUCUGUCCUGCAUCAUUAUGAUCCUGUCGGCGCAGCAAAGGGAGCAGCUCCUUGGGAACUUUGAGGCGGUGUGCGGCGAGGAGGGAUUCGGCUCGAGCACCUGGACCAUCGACCUGUGCUACCUGCUGAUGCGCUACCAGGUGCGCCACGAGUACUUCACCCAAACGCUGGGGAUCGAUCCCAACUACGCGCAGCACACGUACUACUCCAAGAUCAUCGACAAGGACGAACGGCGCGUAACGCGCAAGUUCAAGGACGCCCGGGCACACGGACUGCGCGUGGAGCAGCGCACCGUGGACAUGGAGGUCAUUCUGCGGCAUUUGGCCCGCCACGGACCCGUCAUCCUGCUGACCAACGCCUCGCUGCUCACGUGCGAGGUGUGCAAGCGCAAUGUCCUGGAGAAGUUCGGCUGUUUUCACAUACCCUGCAUUGCUCAAAAUACACGCCUCCAUGGACCCAAAAGGUAUGCCGGUCACUAUGUGGUGCUCUGCGGAUACGACAUGGCCGCCCAGAAGCUCUUCUACCACAAUCCCGAGGUCCACGAUGGCCACAUUUGUCGCUGCCUCAUCGAGUCCAUGGACACGGCCCGACGCGCCUAUGGCACCGACGAGGACAUCAUUUUCAUAUACGAGAAGAAGGAAACUAGGGAGUAGUAGAUGGAUUAGCCAGAGGAACAGAGGAGCAUAUGAACAGAUGAAUAGAUGAAUAGAUGAACAGAUGAACAGAUGAACAGAUGAAUAGAUGAACAAAUGAACAGAUGAACAGAUGAACAAAUGAACAGAAGUACCUGCCGUCGCCAGGUUGCCAGGUGAUGAGAACGGAUGAUUGGAAUCUGCGCUUGUGAUAUUAGGACUUUAGGAGGAGGCCUUCUGGGGGGGACUUCGAGUGGGAGGUAUUGUUAGCAGUUGGUCCCCAUACAAAAAACAAUUACACACAUAUUUAUGUAAACUUGCCAGGCAGCGUCUACUCGUACAUUAUAGAGGCGUUCCAUUGACGCGCCAAAAACCGUCGGAGGAAAGUCCGAAAAUCCAAUGUUAUUCAUAGUUAUGUUUAACACAGAACAAUAAUAAUUGUUCCUAGCUAACUUUCCGUUAAACGCCCCCAACUAAUUUUCAUAUUUGUAGUACGAAAACAUUCCAAUAACGAUUAUGCAUGUAUGUAUAUGUAGAAAAUAAAUGAGAUUAUUGUUCCAAA
rnacentral:misc_RNA from 1 species